rnacentral:rRNA from 1 species
AGGACGAACGCUGGCGGCGUGCUUAACACAUGCAAGUCGAGCGGUAAGGCCUUUCGGGGUACACGAGCGGCGAACGGGUGAGUAACACGUGGGUGAUCUGCCCUGCACUCUGGGAUAAGCCUGGGAAACUGGGUCUAAUACCGGAUAUGACCUGCUCUCGCAUGGGGGUGGGUGGAAAGAUUUUAUCGGUGCAGGAUGGGCCCGCGGCCUAUCAGCUUGUUGGUGGGUAAUGGCCUACCGAAGGCGACGACGGGUAGCCGACCUGAGAGGGUGACCGGCCACACUGGGACUGAGACGACGGCCCAGACUCCUACGGGAGGCAGCAGUCGGGAAUAUUGCACAAGUGGGCGAAAGCCUAGA